rnacentral:misc_RNA from 1 species
AGUUAAAUAGUACGUGAAAUUGUUGAAAGGGAAACGAUUGAAGUCAGUCAUGCUAGUGAAAAAUCAGUUUGACGGGUUUUGAGUUCUUGAGUAGAGGCAGGGUCAAACCGUUUCUCUUUUGGACUUGGGAUUUGUUAGAUGUACUUUUUCUUUGGCAGGUCAACGUCGGUUUCGGGGGUUGUAAAAUACUUGGGGGAAAGUAGCUCUGCUUCGGGAGAGUGUUAUAGACCCUGGGAGAUGCAGCCUGUGGGAUCGAGGAUUGCAGCAAAUGCCUUUUGGCUUGUCGCCUGUUCCUGGGUGUUACCUGUCUUGUGACAACAUUCUUGCCACUGGGGAGUACUAAUGCCUACUGUUUAGAGCGAUCGAAAAUUUUGCUAAGGAUGUUGACGUAAUGGCUUUAAA